rnacentral:rRNA from 1 species
AUUGAGCGCUGGCGGCAUGCCUUACACAUGCAAGUCGAACGGCAGCACGGGAGCUUGCUCCUGGUGGCGAGUGGCGAACGGGUGAGUAAUACAUCGGAACGUACCCAGUAGUGGGGGAUAACGCACCGAAAGGUGCGCUAAUACCGCAUACGACCUAAGGGUGAAAGCGGGGGACCGUAAGGCCUCGCGCUAUUGGAGCGGCCGAUGUCUGAUUAGCUAGUUGGUGAGGUAAAGGCUCACCAAGGCUUCGAUCAGUAGCUGGUCUGAGAGGACGAUCAGCCACACUGGGACUGAGACACGGCCCAGACUCCUACGGGAGGCAGCAGUGGGGAAUUUUGGACAAUGGGCGAAAGCCUGAUCCAGCAAUGCCGCGUGUGCGAAGAAGGCCUUCGGGUUGUAAAGCACUUUUGUCAGGGAAGAAAUCUUUUAGGCUAAUACCUUGGAAGGAUGACGGUACCUGAAGAAUAAGCACCGGCUAACUACGUGCCAGCCGCCGCAGUAA